GACGAACGCUGGCGGCGUGCUUAACACAUGCAAGUCGAACGGAAAGGCCUGCUUUCCCUUGUGGAUUGCGGGUACUCGAGUGGCGAACGGGUGAGUAACACGUGAGUGAUCUGCCCCCAACUUGGGUAUAAGCCUGGGAAACUGGGUCUAAUUCCCGAUAGGACUGCAGGGUGGUGCCUGUGGUGGAAAACGAUUUUCUAGUGGUUGGGGAUGAGCUCGCGGCCUAUCAGCUUGUUGGUGGGGUAAUGGCCUACCAAGGCGGCGACGGGUAGCCGGCCUGAGAGGGUGGACGGCGACAUUGGGACUGAGAUACGGCCCAGACUCCUACGGGAGGCAGCAGUGGGGAAUAUUGCACAAUGGGCGGAAGCCUGAUGCAGCGACGCCGCGUGGGGGAUGACGGCCUUCGGGUGGUAAACUCCUUUCGACCGCGAGGAAGCCACCUGGUUGGAAGGGUGGUGACGGUAGUGGUAGAAGAAGCACCGGCUAACUACGUG
rnacentral:rRNA from 1 species